rnacentral:rRNA from 1 species
UACGUAGGUGACCAGCGUUGUCCGGAUUUACUGGGCGUAAAGAGCGCGCAGGCGGUCGUUCAAGUCGAGUGUGAAAGCCCCGGCUCAACUGGGGAGGGUCAUUCGAUACUGAUCGACUUGAAGGCAGGAGAGGGAAGUGGAAUUCCCGGUGUAGUGGUGAAAUGCGUAGAUAUCGGGAGGAACACCAGUGGCGAAGGCGACUUCCUGGCCUGUUCUUGACGCUGAGGCGCGAAAGCUAGGGAGCAAACGGG